AAGUAAUAUGGAACGGAGGGA
rnacentral:miRNA from 1 species